CAGUAGCCACGGUAAUACGUAGGUGGCAAGCGUUGUCCGGAAUUAUUGGGCGUAAAGGGCUCGCAGGCGGUUUCUUAAGUCUGAUGUGAAAGCCCCCGGCUCAACCGGGGAGGGUCAUUGGAAACUGGGAAGCUUGAGUGCAGAAGAGGAGAGUGGAAUUCCACGUGUAGCGGUGAAAUGCGUAGAGAUGUGGAGGAACACCAGUGGCGAAGGCGACUCUCUGGUCUGUAACUGACGCUGAGGAGCGAAAGCGUGGGGAGCGAACAGGAUUAGAUACCCGUGUAGUCCCUGUCUCUUAUAC
rnacentral:rRNA from 1 species